UACGGAGGGUCCAAGCGUUGUCCGGAAUUAUUGGGUUUAAAGGGUGCGUAGGCGGCCAAUUAAGUCGAAGUUGAAAUCUAACUGCUCAACAGUUAAACUGGCUUCGAUACUGGUUGGCUUGAGUACACUAGAGGUAGGCGGAAUUGAAGGUGUAGCGGUGAAAUGCAUAGAUAUCUUCAAGAACACCAAUUGCGUAGGCAGCUUACUGGAGUGUAACUGACGCUGAGGCACGAAAGCGUGGGGAGCGAACAGG
rnacentral:rRNA from 1 species